rnacentral:lncRNA from 1 species
UUUUUUUUUUUUUUUUUUUUUUUUUAAGUAGACACAACAUUGCAUCUGAAUUAAUAUUUUUAAAGUGCAGAAUACUUGGAUCAUAAAUGUAUGGAUCAUUCCUUAGUGUAAUAUCACUUUAUGGACAAGACAGAGAAUGGAAGCUUUUGAAGUAUUAGUGAAGUAGACAAAAAAGAAAAAUAAAGGUGUAAAUACACUUUAAGAAUACAGAAUGGCCCCCAGAUAGGAAAGACUUUGGUAUAGCCUGAUUGAUUGUAUUGACAUGUCUAAAAGAAGAAUGUUUUAAUCAGUAGGGGAAUAUGAACAACCAAGCUGUGGAAGCAGAGUAAAUAAAAUUAACAGAGGGGAAACAGUGUAAGCUUCCAUUCCAGCACAGCACAGACAGAAGUAUAACCUCGUAGUUUCCAUUUUUGAGUCCUUUUGGCACACGUUGCCAAUACUAAGAUGAUGACAAGAAGCUAUAGCCCAGUGGACAUUGUAAAGGCAGCACUAUUAUGAGAUUAUACGAUGAGAUGAAGCCUGAAGUCACUGCAGAGCCAGCCCAUCUAAUUAAUUCCAACACAUAUACGUUUUUUGUUGUUUUUUUUUUUCUGAUUUCAGCUUGCUCAGGAGACUUCAAAUCAUGCCGUAUAUUACUGCGAGGAAGAUAUUGCCAAAAGAGAGAGACUUUUCUGAUCAUUAUAGUCUUUAAGAAUUCCAAUUCUUGUGACAGUGAUUUCUCAUUUAAAAACUGAUGAAUGAGAACUCUGGUUUUAUGAAUCAAAGGAAUGGGGUUGGCUAAUGUUAUGUCUGCCCCUGAAAAGUGAAACUAUUCUCUAGGAGGCCACAAAGUUGUUUAUGAGCCUCCGGAAAAGUGUAAGAUCCAGAUCCUGAAAUGGUGCAUCCUCCCAGCCAGUAAACAAGUUCCUUCUGCAGGCUUUGGUUUUUCAAAACCACUUAGAAGGGAGCCUUCCCCACCUGCCACGUGGAAACUUCCCCAACAAAAACGCACAUUGUUCUGUCUCUAUUCCUGUGUCUCUUACCUCUGGCCUGUGGGAUCUUGGUUUCAGACUCUGGGUCAUCCUGCCUCUGCCUUGCACAAUAGCCUGUCUUUGAGGGGAUAUUUUUUUUUAAUCCUAUUUCCUGCCUCUGGAAGUACAGGUGUCAACUAUUUCUUAUUCGGCAUGGUCUCUAUCCCUUUCAGUCCACAUUAAUGGUGUUUCUGCCAUAUAAUUUCUUUAAAACUUUGUGGAGUUUCUAUGAAUCAUUUCUUGUUGUUCAAGCCAUUCAAAAAAAAAAAAUGUAAUAUCCACAAAUCUCUUUGAGGUAGACUUUCUUUAUCCAGUGCCCCUCUUGCAGCUGCAGUGGGAUAAUUCCCUUAGAUUUUUUAAAUCCCUAUUGUUUAACAGAGAGUGUUUGCAAGGUAGAUACUUUAGAUGCAUUAUGAGGCCUUUCCCAUCUGAAAGGACCUAUGAGGCACUAUCUUAAGUCUUUUUUAAAGUUUUCAAAAGGUUUAUAGUCACACCAUUGGCUUCAGCUUUACUCCAAGGCUGUUUUCCCCACAGUGUUCUGAAUUUGACCUUUGCCAUGAAGUCUUUUAUCACUUUGAGACUUUUUUGCCAUGUAGAGAGGCUAGACAUGAAAACCAAUUAAACGUUCCAACCCAGAAAUUCACGAGCUUCUUUACAGUUAUACUAAAUUUUUGCUUGAAAAUGAAAUACAUCCAUUUUUAGCUUAUCUCUUUUUCUACAUCUCAUGAUGCACGCCUAAGAGAAGCAAAGUGGUACUGAGAGAUAAAAUAUUGCCUGCCAUAUCUGGAAACGAAGGAUGUCACAGUCAUCAGUGAGUGCAGCCACAUCUAAGGGUGAGCCAGUGAGCCCUGAGGGAACUCAGGGAGGAAACAAAGAAUACUUGCCUUCUAGCAUCCAUCAGACUACAGCCACUCCCGAAGGAGAGCCUGAGGGAUGUGAAAAUACAGGAUAAAAGUCCCAAAUAGCUGAGGUGCAUAUCAAAGGAAUGAUUUCAGUAAACCCAGAACUUUGCAUCUUCCCAAAAAAGGAAAGCACCAAAUUCCUUAAUUUGAGAUAUCUAGUUUUCCAAUGUUAAUAGUCAUCUCUUGUUCCUACUAUCUGCCCGUUAUUGCAAAACUCCUAUUUAUUCUAGUUUCCCCUCACCAUUGUGGAGCACUUUUCUCAAGGUUAUUUGAGAUGCUGCUUCCCGGGCUUAAGUCCUCAGUUUUUACCACUAAAAAAAAAAAAAAAUAGCUUACAACUCUUAGGUUGUGCAUUGUUUUGUCGUCAAAGAGUACAUUGAAUAUUCUGCCUCAAAAUUUCAUUAGGAAAUCCACCAGUUUACUAGGCUUCUUUUCUUUUCUUUUUUUUCUUAGUACAGCCACACCUGUGGCAUAUAGAAGUUCCAGGCCAAAGGAUGAAUCGGAGCUGCAGCUACAUGGCAAUGCCACAGCCAAGGCAACACCAGAUCCACACCUCAUCUGCAACCUACCCUGCAGCUUGCAACAACACUGGAUCCUUACACCACAAAAUGAGGACAGGGAUCGAACCCACAUCCUCACAAAGAUAAUGGUAAAUCCUUAACCUUCUGAGCCAUAAUGGAACUCCAGUUAAGAUUGUUUUCUCUUUUGUGUAUCACCAUCAUGAUAAUUUAAAUACUCAACUGUGUUGUCAAACUUUUUUCCAAUUUCCCAUAAUAAUUACUUUACUGACCUCCCAGCUUUUAUUCAUGAAUAGAUUCUUUGACAUCCUUCCAAAUUUUUGUAGCAGAAACCUCAAAACCCUUUCAUUUUCCAUUUGCACCCUAAUACCCUAGUCAACAAAACAUUGUAAGUUUUUGUUCGGGGAAAACUCUGCCCUUGGUAUCAAAUUCUGUUAUGAUUAUCUAUUGCUGCAUUAAACCCACUUAUAAAACCUUGUGGCAUAAAGCAACAAUCAUUUAAUAUGCUCAUGGAGUUUGUGGUCAUGAAUUCAGGAAGGGCACAGACAUGAUGGCCCUUCACUUUUCUUGAUGUAUGGGCCACAGCCAAGAAUAAUCAAUGGACAAGGAGUGACUCAAAUGGCCAGCCAGAGGAAGCACUUAAAGGCCACUUCAAUUAAAUGUCUGACACUCUGCGGGGGUGAUGAGAAGGCUGGCCUCAGUUGAGAUUGUUUACUAAGCUACCCAUACUUGUUCUCUCCAUGUAGCUGAGCCUUCUUGAAACAGAGAAGCUAGGUUUCAAGAUGAACCAUCAGGAGAGGAAACAUUUCAAGAGACCCAGAUGGAAGGUCUAAGACUUUUCUGACCCAGUCUUAAGAGACAUGCAGUCUUGAACUUCCUGUCAUGGCUCAAUAGUAACGAACCCAACUGGUAUCCAUGAGAACACAGGUUUGACCCCUGGCCUCACUCAGUGGAUUAAGGAUCUGGCAUUGCCAAGACCCGUGGGGUAGGUCACAGACAUGACUUGGAUCCUGCAUUGCUGUGGCUAUAGGCUGGCAGCUAUAGCUCCAAUUGGACCCCUAGCCUGGGACCUUCCAUAUGCCACAGCUGCAACCCUAAAAAGACCAAAAAAAAAAAAAGAAUCAUGCAGUCUUACUUCCACCAUAUCCUAUUGUCCAUUGUAAUCUUAGGUGGCGUAUAUUUUGUUGAUAUUUUUUCCUUAAACAGAAUUUAAAGUGAAUCUCUGAGUCCAGCCCACUUUCAAGGAGAAAGGAUUUAGAUUCUUCUCAUUAAUAUGAAAGCCGUAAAGUCAUAUCACCAAAGAAGAGGUCAGAUGGAGAUCUUAUGAGACCAUCUUUGGAAAUAUAUCACAGAUCAUAGAAUUAAACUACUGAAUAAGAAGGAAAAUAUGAGAAAAGUAACUGCAAAUGUCAUAGGCUUACAUAGAGAAGAAAAGCUACUAUAAAAACUAAAAUGAAGCAUAAUAUUUUGGAGACUCUUAUUCCCUGUAUCUUGCCACAACAUUGCAUCCUUAGAGAACAAGGUAAAAUGUCACACUAGGGCCAGGGCAGGAUAAAAUUUGAUGCCUUAUUUUGCACAGGACUAGACAUAUUUUGUCUUCAGCAAUAAAUAAAGAAACAUACAUUGAACCGGAGUCAACUCUGUUUUGUCUCUGGCUGUUGGUAUGAUAAGAGGAGGCUGGUUUAUCCUCCAUUCAAAUGGCAUGUUACACUUCAAGAACCAAGUAAGAUCAAGAUGAAGUCUUUGGAAGACAGGAAAAUAAAUUUAGUGGAUCAGUCAUUGGUCUGAUCAAGAUGCCAUGGAAUAAAAGUAAAACUAUUCAGUGGUCAGGACUGGGGAAGUGUUGAAAUGAUCAUCAAUCAUGGCAACACUCAAAUUGCGAAGUUUGUAAACACACAGAUAUUUAGAUUAAACAUUACUUAAAAUGCCUUUCUCAUUGGUGCUCUUAUAAGCUCUAAGGAAGCCAAUCAGAUGGCAAAUGAGUACAGUGAAGAGACAAAAAAUUCCCAGGAUUGGAGAAGUUUGCCCAAAUGUGCCUUUUGUAACUUAGUGCUUACUUAAAUAUUCAAUUGUUUGUUCAAAGCUUCCCAACUUGGUACUCCCAUUAAACACAAAGGAUCAAAGCUGAAUUAUACCACUAAGGUCAGAGGGUUCCUCUAAAUCUAGAUCCACAUUAUGUCUGCGGAAGGAAGUUUGACCAGACUCUCCAUCCUUGAGUUUUGUGCUUAAAAACACUAGAUAGAGAUGCCUGGAUUCAGACUCAUAGGAUUCAUUUUUACGGCUGCUUGGUCGGGACUUCCCACCAGUAACCACUUCUCCACUGGUUAUCCGCGAUUUCGCUCUCUACUCUCUAUGCUGCAGAGGUGAUGAGGAUGAUGAUCAGAGCAAGGCCACAGGGGAAUGAGGCUUUGGCAUGGGAACUUGAAACUGUGUUUUUUAUGGAUAUUUAUUUAUGUAACAAGCAUUCCAAAGGGCUUGUUUGCCAUAAUACCGUCUUUCUUUUUCCAUUACAUCUCUAGGAUUACAUACUUUUUUGUUUUGUUCUGAUGCCAGAACUGAAAUGCUUACAAAAGAGCCUAGCAAAGUACGCUAGAUCGAUAAGUUAGCUGAGUUUACAAGUUCAAGCGGCACAUAAGCGUGACUAUGCAAAAGAAGACGUUAAAAAAUACACGGUACCCCCCAAAAGCUAAUAUCCUCAUAAAUGUGUACAGAGAUGAAAGAGAUUAUAAGCAAUAAACUGCUUAUAAAUAGUCUGUUCUCUGUUACGAGGGAAAGACAUGUUUUGUUCCUAAUAGCAUCAAAUGGUCAUGGAUAAUUUUAUUUAGAUGGUUAUUACUUCCACAAGGUACACGUCCCUAUUUUUAGGAUGCAUGUGCUUCCAUGUAAACACCAAUGUUCACCAGAGUAGGUUCAUAUGGGAAAGCAAAAGGCAGUAGAAGAAUGUACUGAAAUGCACAGCUGCUAUAAAAGCCACACAAUCUGAGCAUACCAGAUACUCUGUCUGUAAGUCCAUACAGAUAGAGAUACUGGCCAAAUAAACAGCAUUUUAUUCUAAGUUCUAGUAUUCAUAACCAGCUUAGAAGUGCUGUCCUUCCCAACUCCACCUCCAUUUUUUUUGCCCUUACUAAAAAAAUAGUCUCUAAGGAAUAUUUUAACUAUAUAAAUAGAAUGUUGCACUUCGAAGGUAAAAAAGAUGGUUCAAGGUUAUCAGCCUUGGUAUGGUUUUAACAGAAAAUGAAAAAUUCUUAUCCAUCAUAAACCAUCACAGCAUCAAGGCACAGGUACAAAGAGUUAAGAAUACAAAAGAGAAACGUCCAGGCUCUUUUAAAAAUUAUUCUCGAGAUGCUUAUGUGUUCUAGAUGUGUCCUUUGAUAAGAUGGUCCGGAGAUAUCAAUUUAAAAAAUGGACAAUCCAAAAGAAUGGCAAAGCUUCUGACACAUUACCUAUGAAAAUGAGACAAAAGCAGUGGUUACCCCACUCAGUCUCCGUAACUAUUGUCUUGUCUCUUCUGGCCUGAUUUUCUCUCUACUCAUUCAUUUAUUCUAUAAACAUUUAUUGAUUGUCUUCUAUUUCUCAGACUUUUUCUAGGCACUUAGUAUAAUCAAUGAUCAAAGCAAAGAUCCCCA